rnacentral:miRNA from 1 species
AACAUUCAGCGCUGUCGGUGAGU